AUCUAACACACAAAUUUAAGGGGCUUCUUGCUCUCAGAUGGCAACAAUUAGCUUUUUUCUUGUCUCAAUCUCAUACAACUUUAUGGAUGAUGAGGAUUAUGAAGUUUGAGCUAGCCAAACAACAAGUGCGACUCGCUAUCAAUCUUAAACCUUCAGCAAACCAAAAAUGCAAGGCAAAUAAAAGCAACUAACUGACAAUUGGAUGUUUACUUGGUGUUGUACUGCAGAAAGAGUGGGCAAUUGAAAUCAGCAGCCCCAUUUGAACUUCUGCAGCCAUAUAUGAAGAGGAUGCAAUUUUCAUGUGAUAUAUGUUGAUCAAGAUUGGUAUGAUUUGGGUGGCUCCAACCGUGAAGGAAGUGUUAGGCUGGUAAUGGGCUUACUUGGAAGUGUUAUGAGGAAAGUAAAGCUUCUAAGGGAUGAAGUCCUUAUAAUUGAGAUUUGAGACUAUAUUACUAGAUAACUUGUUUAUUUUUAGCAUAUUUAAUUUGAAUUUUAAUUCAUAUAG